rnacentral:rRNA from 1 species
UACGAGGGGGGCGAGCGUUGUUCGGAAUUAUUGGGCGUAAAGGGUGCGUAGGCGGUUUGGUAAGUCUUGUGUGAAAUCUACAGGCUCAACUUGUAGUCUGCACGAGAAACUGCCGGGCUUGAGUAUGGGAGAGGUGAGUGGAAUUCCUGGUGUAGCGGUGAAAUGCGUAGAUAUCAGGAGGAACACCUGUGGCGAAAGCGGCUCACUGGACCAUAACUGACGCUGAAGCACGAAAGCUAGGGGAGCAAACAGG